AUAGCUCAGUUUGGUAGAGCACCUGGUUUGGGACCAGGGGGUCGCAGGUUCGAAUCCUGUU
rnacentral:tRNA from 1 species